AGAAUCAACGCUGGCGGCGUGCCUAACACAUGCAAGUCGAACGAGAAAGUGGAGCAAUCCAUGAGUAAAGUGGCGACCGGGUGAGUAACACGUGACUAACCUACCUUCGAGUGGGGGAUAACCUCGGGAAACCGAGGCUAAUACCGCAUAACAUCGUGAGAUCAAAGCAGCAAUGCGCUUGGAGAGGAGUUCGCGGCCGAUUAGCUAGUUGGCGGGGUAAUGGCCCACCAAGGCGAUGAUCGGUA
rnacentral:rRNA from 1 species